GUCCCGGGGGGUCGCGGUGGUCCCGGGGGUCUCUGAGGUCCCCUUGGUCCCGGCUGUCUCGGGGGUCUCGGUGGUCCCGGGCUGUCCCGGGGGUC